rnacentral:tRNA from 1 species
GCGGUUUUAGCUCAGUUGGGAGAGCGUCAGACUGAAGUUACACUUCGGUUCAGUUAAUCUGAAGGUCCAGUGUUCGAUCCACUGAAACCGCA